UCGGGAAUUUUGGGCAAUGGGCGAAAGCCUGACCCAGCAACGCCGCGUGAGGGAUGAAGUAUUUCGGUAUGUAAACCUCGAAAGAAUGGGAAGAAUAAAUGACGGUACCAUUUAUAAGCUCCGGCUAACUACGUGCCAGCAGCCGCGGUAAUACGUAGGGAGCAAGCGUUGUUCGGAUUUACUGGGCGUAAAGGGCGCGUAGGCGGCGCGGUAAGUCACUUGUGAAAUCUCUGAGCUUAACUCAGAACGGCCAAGUGAUACUGCUGUGCUAGAGUGCGGAAGAGGCAACCGGAAUUCUUGGUGUAGCGGUGAAAUGCGUCGAUAUCAAGAGGAACACCUGAGGCGAAGGCGGGUUGCUGGGCCGACACUGACGCUGAUGCGCGAAAGCCAGGGGAGCAAACG
rnacentral:rRNA from 1 species